rnacentral:rRNA from 1 species
CGCGUAUCCAACCUGCCCACCACUUGGGGAUAACCUUGCGAAAGUAAGACUAAUACCCAAUGAUAUCUCUAGAAGACAUCUGAAAGAGAUUAAAGAUUUAUCGGUGAUGGAUGGGGAUGCGUCUGAUUAGCUUGUUGGCGGGGUAACGGCCCACCAAGGCAACGAUCAGUAGGGGUUCUGAGAGGAAGGUCCCCACAUUGGAACUGAGACACGGUCCAAACUCCUACGGGAGGCAGCAGUGAGGAAUAUUGGUCAAUGGACGAGAGUCUGAACCAGCCAAGUAGCGUGCAGGAUGACGGCCCUAUGGGUUGUAAACUGCUUUUAUAAGGGAAUAAAGUGAGUCUCGUGAGACUUUUUGCAUGUACCUUAUGAAUAAGGACCGGCUAAUUCCGUGCCAGCAGCCGCGGUAAUACGGAAGGUCCGGGCGUUAUCCGGAUUUAUUGGGUUUAAAGGGAGCGUAGGCCGGAGAUUAAGCGUGUUGUGAAAUGUAGACGCUCAACGUCUGCACUGCAGCGCGAACUGGUUUCCUUGAGUACGCACAAAGUGGGCGGAAUUCGUGGUGUAGCGGUGAAAUGCUUAGAUAUCACGAAGAACUCCGAUUGCGAAGGCAGCUCACUGGAGCGCAACUGACGCUGAAGCUCGAAAGUGCGGGUAUCGAACAGGAUUAGAUACCCUGGUAGUCCGCACGGUAAACGAUGGAUGCCCGCUGUUGGUCUGAAUAGGUCAGCGGCCAAGCGAAAGCUUUAAGCAUCCCACCUGGGGA